rnacentral:rRNA from 1 species
AUUGAACGCUGGCGGCAUGCCUUACACAUGCAAGUCGAACGGUGACAGGUCUUCGGAUGCUGACGAGUGGCGAACGGGUGAGUAAUACAUCGGAACGUGCCCGAUCGUGGGGGAUAACUACUCGAAAGAGUAGCUAAUACCGCAUACGAUCUACGGAUGAAAGCGGGGGAUCUUCGGACCUCGUGCGGACGGAGCGGCCGAUGGCAGAUUAGGUAGUUGGUGGGAUAAAAGCUUACCAAGCCGACGAUCUGUAGCUGGUCUGAGAGGACGACCAGCCACACUGGGACUGGGACACGGCCCAGACUCCUACGGGAGGCAGCAGUGGGGAAUUUUGGACAAUGGGCGAAAGCCUGAUCCAGCAAUGCCGCGUGCAGGAUGAAGGCCUUCGGGUUGUAAACUGCUUUUGUACGGAACGAAAAGACCCCUUCUAAUACAGGGGGUCCAUGACGGUACCGUAAGAAUAAGCACCGGCUAACUACGUGCCAGCAGCCGCCGCCG